AUUGAACGCUGGCGGCAUGCUUUACACAUGCAAGUCGAACGGCAGCGUGGGCUUCGGCCUCGCGUCGCGUGGCCAACGGAUGGGUAAUGCACAGGAACGUGCCCUGCCUUUGGGGCUAGGAUGGCUAAAGCCGACUUAAUCUCGCAUCGGACCAGAUGGUGAAAGGCGGGGUUCUAAAGUGCUCGCGCGUUUUGCUCGGACUUAUACGGGUACGCUCGUUGGAUUAGUUAGUUGGUACGGUAACGGCUUACCAAGGCUACGAUACGUAGCCGACCUGAGAGGACGACCAGCCACACUGGAACUGAGACACGGCCCAGACUCCUACGGGAGGCAGCAGUGGGGAAUUUUGCACAAUGGGGGCAAGCCUGAUGCAGCCAUGCCGCGUGAGGGAUGAAGGCCUUCGGGUUGUAAACCGCUGUUGUUCGGGAAGAACUCCUCUGUGCUUAUCCGCCGAGGUGAUGACGGUACCGGAAGAAUAAGCACCGGCUAACUACGUG
rnacentral:rRNA from 1 species